UACGGAGGGGACUAGCGUUGUUCGGAAUUACUGGGCGUAAAGCGCACGUAGGCGGAUUUGUAAGUCAGGGGUGAAAUCCCGGGGCUCAACCUCGGAACUGCCUUUGAUACUGCAAAUCUCGAGUCCGGAAGAGGUGAGUGGAAUUCCUAGUGUAGAGGUGAAAUUCGUAGAUAUUAGGAAGAACACCAGUGGCGAAGGGCGGCUACA
rnacentral:rRNA from 1 species